rnacentral:rRNA from 1 species
UACGGGGGGUGCGAGCGUUGUCCGGAAUCACUGGGCGUAAAGGGCGCGUAGGUGGUUUGAUAAGGGUGUGGUGAAAGUCCGGGGCUCAACCCCGGAUCUGCCGUGCCGACUGUCAAACUCGAGGGCUGUAGAGGCAGACGGAAUUCCGGGUGUAGCGGUGGAAUGCGUAGAGAUCCGGAGGAAGACCGGUGGCGAAGGCGGCUACCUGGACAAUUGCUGACGCUCAGGCACGAAAGCGUGGGGAGCAAAAGGG